AAGUCUUAAUAUGAUUAGAAUUAAUUGAUAUUUUAUUCAACUUAAAACAACUACCAAAAUAAAGAGUCCCAUGAGAUUUAAACACUUUGAUUCCAUGCGCCAAAUAUGUCCCAUGCCUCAACCUGUUUUGGAUGCCUCAUCCAACCAGAAUGGAUGCCACUUUUUUUCUCUUUUUUAGUGUGUAAGAGAGAAGAGUUAUCACCCUAUUUACCAUAUAAAAUCUGGUGUGAAACUUGGUUGUUGGGCGGC
rnacentral:lncRNA from 1 species